UCUUCGGAUCGUAAAGCUCUGUUGUUAGGGAAGAACAAGUAUCGUUCGAAUAGGGCGGUACCUUGACGGUACCUAACCAGAAAGCCACGGCUAACUACGUGCCAGCAGCCGCGGUAAUACGUAGGUGGCAAGCGUUAUCCGGAAUUAUUGGGCGUAAAGCGCGCGCAGGCGGUCCUUUAAGUCUGAUGUGAAAGCCCACGGCUCAACCGUGGAGGGUCAUUGGAAACUGGGGGACUUGAGUGCAGAAGAGGAGAGCGGAAUUCCACGUGUAGCGGUGAAAUGCGUAGAGAUGUGGAGGAACACCAGUGGCGAAGGCGGCUCUCUGGUCUGUUACUGACGCUGAGGCGCGAAAGCGUGGGGAGCGAACAGGAUUANAUACCCUGGUAGUCCACGCCGUAAACGAUGAGUGCUAAGUGUUAGAGGGUUUCCGCCCUUUAGUGCUGCAGCAAACGCAUUAAGCACUCCGCCUGGGGAGUACGGUCGCAAGACUGAAACUCAAAGGAAUUGACGGGGGCCCGCACAAGCGGUGGAGCAUGUGGUUUAAUUCNAAGCAACGCGAAAAACCUUACCA
rnacentral:rRNA from 1 species